GCGUAAUGGUGCGAGGGGGCAGGGCUAGUGUAUAGCUACGCCCAGCCUGUAACCAAGACAGCUAGUCCUGAUCAGGCUCAAAGUGGCUGCAGGAAAUGCGUAAAGUCCAAGGGCUGGGGCCAGAGCUUCAGACGGCUCCGCCCAAAAAGAUCCCGCAUUGGGAGGGGACUGAACUGAGCUCCGGGAGCACGUUAGGCCACAUGACCUAAAGUGGCGCCUCGGUGGAGGGGCCAGGCCAUAGGCGGCCCUAGUUGAAAUAGACAGGGCUCUGGGAGGAGGAGCAUGCGCAGGACAACCCUAGGAAGCACGCUUUGCGGGCUGUGGGCAUGCUCCGCUGGGCACGAGCGUGGAGGGUCCCCCGUGGGAUACUCGUUGACUCCUCUCCCAAGCGUUCGGUUGUUCCUGUCACGUUCAGUAGCAGCCGCAGUAGUGGCCAAGGAAACGCCGAUCCGAGGCCGCUGCCGCUGUCCUAUAAUCUUCUAGAUGGAGACGCGACACUCCCAGCCAUCGUCUUUUUGCAUGGACUCUUCGGCAGCAAAACCAACUUCAAAUCCCUCGCCAAGGCAAUGGUUCAGAGGACCGGCAGGAGGGUGUUGACAGUGGAUGCUCGGAACCACGGUGACAGCCCCCACAGUCCAGAUGCAAGCUAUGAGGCCAUGAGUCUGGACCUUCAGGGCCUCCUCCCACAGCUGGGCCUGGUGCCCUGCGUCCUGAUUGGCCACAGUAUGGGAGGAAAGACAGCCAUGCUCCUGGCACUGCAGAGGGUGAGCUACACCUAUCAGGUCCUUGUAAUACACUAUAAGGCUUAUGUCUCCCAUUGAUAACGUGGGAUUCAUCUGUGCCCUGCAUGGCCAGGCUCCAGAAACUUCUGGAGGCUCAGAGAGUUUGUCCGGGACCUGCUCUGGUCUGAUUCUGUCUCACAGCCAGAUGUCGUGGAACGAUUGGUUGUUAUGGACAUAAGCCCAACAGGAACCACACCUGGAUUGUACAUUGGAAACUUCAUAGCAGCCAUGAAAGCUGUUGAGAUCCCAGAGAAGGUGCCGUACUCCCAGGCCCGAAAACUGGCGGAUAAGCAGCUUAGCUCUGUUGUCAAGGUGACACACACUCCACCCCCCUUUCCCCAUGGUGUUGUGGGCUAAGACAUGUCAGAGGAAAAAGUGGUGGGUGGGCCUCACAGGGAGCCCCUUCACAGCUGCCAGAUCUCCCCACAGGAAGUGAGCAUCCGGCAGUUCCUACUCACUAACCUGGUGGAGGUGGAUGGUCGAUUCUCCUGGAGAGUGAACUUGGACGCCUUAGCUCAGCAAUUGGACAGGAUUUUGACCUUCCCACAACAACUUGAGUCCUACUCAAGGCCAACUCUCUUUGUGCUUGGUGGAAAUUCUACAUAUGUACAACCCAGCCACUACCCAGAGAUUAGGCGGCUCUUCCCUCAAGCCCAGAUUCAGACCGUGCCUAAUGCUGGCCACUGGGUCCACAACGACAACCCCAAAGACUUCAUGGAUGCUGUCACCAGCUUCUUGGCUUAAGAAGUAGCUCCUUGGAAAAGCAGCCAGGGGACCCUAGGCUUGGGAUCUGUGCCACUUGUCCCUUGCUUCUGCUCAGGGGCACUGACUGAGAGGGUCCAUGGGUACAGAGGUGGUCUAACACUUUAAUGAAUAAAGACAGUUCCCUUAAAGACCCGGGAUCCAUUGUCACCACCGUCGUCCCCACUGACCCCGGGAGAGUUGGAUCCAGGAACUCCUGCUCGUGCUUGAGUUCUCGCGUGCUCCCAGCGUACCUCUGGACUCUCCCUGCAGCUGACUCCGCACCCGCUCUCGAACCAUCUGCUGCAUGUCUUCCUGGGCACAGGAGAGAGAGAGAGCAGGACCUCCAGCAGCUGAGCCUCCACUGUGCGCAACCUGGCUCGACAGGAGUCCAGCUCUGCUUCCACCGCUCGCUUCCUGCAGGCGGCAGGGAUGGGGGUAGGGGCGAUGUGUUCUAGUGUCUGACUAUCUGGAGUCCCCUUCCUCUCCUCUAGUGGGAAUGAGUCUCCCCACUUCCCCCUCCCCCACUCCCACCUGCAGUUUCUCUCACUUAGCAAUGGCUUCAUCCCUCUCCUGCAGUACUUGCUCCAGGGAAGGCUCCGCCCGAGUGUCCCCCAGUGCUCCUGCCGCUUGGUAUUCUGGGUUCUGUUAGAGGGUGAUGGAUGAGGAGGCAGUGACCUAGGACUUGUCAGAAUGAGAAUACUCACCCUGGGUCCUUCUGUCCUUCCCCUGUCUUACCACCCUUUGCCUCUAGGGGGUGCUGCGCCUGCAUCUUGUAAAGUCUCAGGAAACGCUUAGUCUGGCUGAGAAGUAGACCAGGGGACUUUGAGUCUUAUUCAGGAAUGGCCUGAUUCAGCAGCAUGGACAGUGUUUUAAGCUCCCAAGGAGAAAGGGAUUCCCACACAGCCCUGUGGAAAUACUACUGAGUGGCCUGGGAUCGCUUACCUUUCUAUGCUCUUAGAGAGUCAAGGCCUGGUGACUGAGACUCUUGUCAGUUGGUUGAGGCUAGUAGACAGAGCCCUUUGCCCUUCCAGGUAGGGCACUCCCUAGCAGACUCCACCUACAGGGGGAGAGCCUGGAGCAAGGAGAAAGUGCACCUCCCUCUUACAACUUGGAAUGCCCCAAGCCUUUUCCUCAAGUCUUGCCGGCCGUAGCCUCCAAGGGGCGCUCUACCCAGGUCUCAAAAUAGCCAAGGAGGCACAGACUCCAACUAAGGCUGAGCAUGAGACAGUCUCCCAGGACAAGGGGUUGACUCUUUGCUAGCCCUUCAAGGAAUCAUCUGCCCCCAGAAUCCUAACCCCACCUCAGGAGGAAAAACAAACAAACAAAACCCAAGGCAUGGUU